AGGAAGUCGAGCGAACCAGAGAUUUCUGCUCCCUCUCGGACCUUUCUUCACUGAAGCAUCGAGACUCCAAGAACGAGAAUUCUCUUCUGGAUACCCUCGAUUGAACCUACAACGUCGACUCCAGUCCAAUCUUCCACCGCAAACAUUCGAAUCUCCGUCGACCGAGGCGCCUCCACCUCUGGUCGCUUUGAGCUCAGCCAGGUCGGAGAGAUGAAACGAAGUAUUGACAGAAAGAUGCCGAAGUCGCGGCCGAUCGGAGCCGCUCCCGAGCUUCACUGAUCGCGUCUCCCUGUUCUGCUCUGUUUGUCGUUCGGAGAUCUCGAAGUGCCUUGCACUCGCUGAAUCCUCCUUUGCCAGGUCCGAUCAUCAUCGGUGACGCCCAGGAGUCCUUCUCGUAAGUUCAGCGGCUGUUCGCGACUGCAAUCGCACAUCAUCAAGGCCCUGCGAGCACAAAGUCGAGGUUGUACAGCAGCAACUGGCGAAACUCCUGCUCUUUCUGCAUCCGCAUUGCUUUCAGCUUGAAAGGUUUGAGUAUGGGUAUACUCAUGUAAAUUUGGUAAGGAAAGAUCAACUCAGUACAUGUGAAUCCUGCUUUACCUAUUAUCUCUGUUUUUGGUUUUCCUUUGCUAUCCUGAGUUGGUUUUUUUUUUUUUUUGUGAUCGUAUUGGAAAGCUUGAGGUCCUGAAUAUUUUAAUUCCCAAAAAGAAAAAUUUUGUAGUAGCCACCGUCUUUGGGGAAUCAUUGAAUGGGAAUUGAUGUCUAGCGAUUUGUAGAACCAAGUUUAGUAGGCUUUGCUCUACAUUUGCUUUUCUUCAGUCCUUCUACCAAAACCCCUCUGGCAUGUGAUGAAGCUAUAUUAAUAUGAUCAUUUACCUUAGCAUUUUUUUGGAUAGAGAAACUCAUUCGAUUAAUCGAAGCCAGGGAUUAAACCGAAGUUUUAAUUUGAUAUAAACUCAUAAUCGGGUUAUGUGUUUUGUGUUCUGUUUUACAACACGGAUGUUUAUUCAUGUAGCUGAUACUUGAAUAUGCUUCAUAAAAUGAGUGGGCAAUGGAUGAGUGUUAAGAAUACAUGUCAAUUUUGAAAGAAAUAGGACCAUAGUCACGUUUGAUCAUGCUGGAAUGUAACUUGGAUUUGCUGACUUAUCUAAUUGAAGCUCAAUUUCAAUUCGUUGUGAUGUCAUUUUUAUCAUAUGAACAAGUAUGAUGACCUAGGAGACUGUCAUGGUGAAUUGGUGAUAAUUUUUCAACAGAUAACCAUGUUGUUGUGCCUUGAAAAUGCUGGAUAUGGGCUGUCAUCACUAUUCCUUUGUUGGUCAUUCCUUUCUCGGUGUAGACUGAAUUCAUGUGAAGCCCCAUCUAAGUGCUGUUCUAAUUAGCCGUGAUGCGGUGUUUGUAUGUUGAUGAUUUCUUAAUCAUUGGGCAUGUUUGUUGCCAAUUGCUUUGAUUGAGGUAAUGCUGAAAUUCAUGGAGUAUCUCAGUGAAGAUCUGAUUCACAGGAGGGACCGAGAAUAAGAGAAGGGAACGAAAAUAAUAAAAAAAUAAUAUUAAAAAUCUUGAAAAUAAAAAUAAAAUGGAAAAAUGUUAGAAUUUGGUAUCAGAAUUAUCUUGGAAUUAGUUUAGUUUCAAUUAGUUAGUGUACACAUGGUUUAAUGUUUUAUUGGACACCUUUGAUUUAGUCUUAGAUGGUUGAUCAUUUAGAAAAUAAAUUGAACUCAAUUUGAAUUAAGCUCAUGGGGUUGUUAUCAUGGGGUUUAAUAGCAAGGCCAUGUAAUAUUUUUUACCUAACUUAUAUUGAGUUAUUUUACUA